rnacentral:rRNA from 1 species
CCGGCAAACGGGUGCGGAACACGUACACAACCUUCCUUUAAGUGGGGGAUAGCCCAGAGAAAUUUGGAUUAAUACCCCGUAAUAUUGUUUGAGUGGCAUCACUUAACAAUUAAAGCUCCGGCGCUUAGCGAUGGGUGUGCGUCUGAUUAGGUAGUUGGUAGGGGUAACGGCCCACCAAGCCAGCGAUCAGUAACUGGUGUGAGAGCACGACCAGUCACACGGGCACUGAGACACGGGCCCG